GCCAGGAGCAUCGCUGGGUAGCUACGUGCGGCCGGGAUAAGUGCUGAAAGCAUCUAAGCAUGAAGCCCCCCUCGAGAUGAAAUUUCCCAUCACGUCAAGUGAGUAAGAUCCCUCGAAGAUGACGAGGUUGAUAGGUCGGAAGUGGACGUGUGGUGACACAUGGAGCUGACCGAUACUAAUCGAUCGAGGGCUUAUCCUA
rnacentral:rRNA from 1 species